rnacentral:lncRNA from 1 species
GGAAAAUAAUGCUCGCUCCCUUAAACCGGAAACAUACCCGAUUAUGGCAGUAGAUUUUGGAAAAUGCAGUCGACAGUGCGGUCUGGUUCGGUAAGCAUGAAGUGUUAUGAAGUGCCAGUUUGCCAACCUGAUCACUUGUUUAUGACAGCAGACCGUCUACUUCCUUGAUACCCUGAACAACUCCUACAGUGAAGAGGCAUUUCCUGAACAAUGGAGCGACAUCCUCGAGACACAAUAACAGAAGCUUUCUAAAGACAUGCAAACCAUGAGAUGGAAACUUGCUUUGUAAUUCACUACCAGUGACUGGCAGUCCUGAAACAGGUGGUUAGCUUAAGUAUAUUCAAAAUGAGGU